rnacentral:misc_RNA from 1 species
CAGAGUUCAUGCCCUCACGGGUAGAUCUCCCACCCUUGAAUAUUAUACCUUCGUUGCUUUGGCAGGCCGUGGAAACACCAUGGGCCCCGGCUUAUGCGUGCCUGCCAGAGGAAACAAACUCUGAAUUUUAAUGUCGUCUGAGUACUAUAUAAUAGUUA